rnacentral:misc_RNA from 1 species
CUAUUUUCUGCCAGCUUUGCCCUUUAAACUUGACCAAGUUUUCAGAAUGCUUGCAAAAUGUUGCUCACAAGGUGCAAGAGUAGUCAUUAGCCAUCCCCAAGGGAGAGAAGCAUUAGAGCAGCAAAGGAAACAACAUCAAGAUGUUAUAGUAUCUGAAUUGCCUGAUAAGAUGACCUUGCUGAAGGUUGCAUCUGAUAAUUCUUUCGAGAUGGCUGAAUUUGUGGACGAGUCAGGAUUAUAUCUUGCUGUUUUACAGUUUUCUGGGGCG